AGAGUAGCGGGACAGUGAAAGAAUUGUUUAAAGUUCAUUAUCCAGGAAAAUCAAAAAUAGUCUUUUAGUUUGAUGUUCUUAAAGGGUUCUGGGAUUCAAAGUCGAUUCAGACAUCUUGGUUCGUUGUUCGUGUCGGAGUUUGACGUUCACGAAAUUAUCCAAUGGGUGUUGAAGUUCGCUAUUUCCUUACUCGUUGCUGUCACAAUAUGCUGCCCCUCUAAAGACUAUGUUCAUUUGGUAUUUUGAGCACAUUAGGAGUUCUAGAGCUUGGAAUAGAGUGAUUCUUGUGACGUUCUUCUUGAUAUAAUAUGGAGAUGUUGUUGUUCAAGAUUUUUAUUGAGAUAAUA
rnacentral:misc_RNA from 1 species